rnacentral:miRNA from 1 species
GGUGCGGCUGCAGACGGGUAU